rnacentral:rRNA from 1 species
UACGAAGGGGCUAGCGUUGUUCGGAUUUACUGGGCGUAAAGCGCACGUAGGCGGAUCGAUCAGUCAGGGGUGAAAUCCCAGGGCUCAACCCUGGAACUGCCUUUGAUACUGUCGAUCUGGAGUAUGGAAGAGGUGAGUGGAAUUCCGAGUGUAGAGGUGAAAUUCGUAGAUAUUCGGAGGAACACCAGUGGCGAAGGCGGCUCACUGGUCCAUUACUGACGCUGAGGUGCGAAAGCGUGGGGAGCAAACAGG